AGCAGCCGCGGUAAUUCCAGCUCCAAUAGCGUAUAUUAAAGUUGUUGCAGUUAAAAAGCUCGUAGUUGAAUUUCGGGAUCAAUACGUCGGUCGUGCUUCGGUACGUACUGGCGUAAUUGAUUUCUCCCUUCUGACGAACCAUGAUGUCAUUAACUUGGUGUCAUGGGAAAUCAGGACUGUUACUUUGAAAAAAUUGAGUGUUUAAAGCAGGCUCACGCUUGAAUACAUUAGCAUGGAAUAAUGAAAUAGGACGUUCGAUCCUAUUUUGUUGGUUUCUAGGAUUGACGUAAUGAUUAAUAGGGAUAGUUGGGGGCAUUAGUAUUCAAUUGUCAGAGGUGAAAUUCUUGGAUUUAUUGAAGACUAACUACUGCGAAAGCAUUUGCCAAGGAUGUUUUC
rnacentral:rRNA from 1 species